GACGAACGCUGGCGGCGUGCUUAACACAUGCAAGUCGAACGGAAAGGCCCUGCUUUUGUGGGGUGCUCGAGUGGCGAACGGGUGAGUAACACGUGAGUAACCUGCCCUUGACUUUGGGAUAACUUCAGGAAACUGGGGCUAAUACCGGAUAGGAGCUCCUGCUGCAUGGUGGGGGUUGGAAAGUUUCGGCGGUUGGGGAUGGACUCGCGGCUUAUCAGCUUGUUGGUGGGGUAGUGGCUUACCAAGGCUUUGACGGGUAGCCGGCCUGAGAGGGUGACCGGCCACAUUGGGACUAAGAGACGGCCCAGACUCGUACGGGAGGCAGUAGUGGGAAGUCUUGCACAAUGGGCGGGAGCCUGAUGCAGCAACGCCGCGUGCGGGAUGACGGCCUUCGGGUGGUAAACCGCUGUCGCCUGUGACGAAGCGGGAGUGACGGUAAUGAGUAAAGAAGCACCGGCUAACUACGUG
rnacentral:rRNA from 1 species